rnacentral:rRNA from 1 species
AUUGAACGCUGGCGGCAGGCCUAACACAUGCAAGUCGAACGGUAACAGGGAUCAGCUUGCUGAUUCGCUGACGAGUGGCGGACGGGUGAGUAAUGUCUGGGAAACUGCCUGAUGGAGGGGGAUAACUACUGGAAACGGUAGCUAAUACCGCAUAACGUCGCAAGACCAAAGAGGGGGACCUUCGGGCCUCUUGCCAUCGGAUGUGCCCAGAUGGGAUUAGCUAGUAGGUGGGGUAACGGCUCACCUAGGCGACGAUCCCUAGCUGGUCUGAGAGGAUGACCAGCCACACUGGAACUGAGACACGGUCCAGACUCCUACGGGAGGCUGCAGUGGGGAAUAUUGCACAAUGGGCGCAAGCCUGAUGCAGCCAUGCCGCGUGUAUGAAGAAGGCCUUCGGGUUGUAAAGUACUUUCAGCGGGGAGGAAGGGAGUAAAGUUAAUACCUUUGCUCAUUGACGUUACCCGCAGAAGAAGCACCGGCUAACUCCGUG